UUGAUAUUGUGUGACUGCCAUAAUGUUUUUAUUUUAUAAUAUAUAUUUUAUAUUUUAUUUAUAUAUAAUAUAUAUAUGUGAUAAAAAUAAUACACAUUAACUUUUCAUAAAAUUUUUAUAUGUGAAAAUAUUACAAAUGAAUAUAAUAACAAAAUUGUUGUUAAAUAUUUUAUUCAUCUAGAAAAUAUUUAAAUAAGAUAAUUGUUAACACGAAAAAAAAAAAAUAAAUAAUAAAUAUAUAAAAUACAUACAUAUAUAUAUAUAUAUAUAUUUAACAAUUUAGAGGCGUAAAAUAUGUCAGUUUUAUAUUACACCUUAUUUAGUUUUUUUAAGGACCUUAGGAGUUUAUACAAACCAUAUACAGCAUUUUCUUUUUUUUUCUUCCCUUGUGCUAUAAAUAUGUAUGGAAUUAUAAAAUUUAAUAAUUCAGAUUACCAUAUAAAUAAAAACGUAACAGAUGCCAAUGCAUAUAUGAAAAGGACUACCCAAGAAAAAUAAUACAAUGAAAUAAGAUAGAAAUUAAACAAUAUCUUUUAAAUGGAAAUGAGGGAGGAAGGAAGGAAAUAAGAAAAUUGUAUAAUAUUUCCUAAAGAAAUAAAAUAUUAUACUCUAUAUAUAUAUAUGUAUAUAUUUAUAUAGUUGAACGGUUUAAUAAUAUAGAACAAAUUGAAUAUAUUUUUUUAAUAAUGUGAAAAAAAGUAUAAAUGAUAAACGUAUUAUAACGUUUUAAUUUAAAAAAAAAAUACAAAAAGAAAAAAAAUAAUAUAUAGGAAUAACUGCAAUGUUGUAUAAAUAUAUUGUAAAUGUUUUAUUUUUAAACAUCAAAAUGUUUUUUUCAUUAAUUUUUUUUGAUAUUCCUUUUUUUUUUUAUUCCCAUUUGAUAUAUAUUUUUUUUCGUUUUAGAAAAACUUUUUCAAACAUAACUAUAAAACAAAAUACUUAUGUAAAUAUUUAUGUUUAAUAUGUGAAA